UUGAUUAUCUGCCUGCAGAAUUUUCUACCAAAAAAACAUAAAAACUCACUGCAUAUUUGUAUUCUUGGUGGUCAUAUAAUCAUAUUAUUCGAUAGCAUAUGAUGAAAUCACGAUUAUAAAUAGAAUUCUAUCUAUAUUUGUCAUUAACAGCGCUUUUAUCAUAUGUCAAUGAAUGAUUUGGUCAUGUGACCACCAAGAGCGAUAAUAUGAAGUGAGUUUUUUUAAUUGGAAACCUUUUGACCGUAGAUGACGGUAGGAUUGUAUAGAUCGCUGUGUAAUUAUACUGUCUAUAAUAGUGUUUUAAACUGUUGCACCAGUUACAUAGCACGAAACACGUGUUCUUUGUUAAUUUGAAUUUUAAAGAGAAGUUAGAUGUCACACGCAUAGAUUUUUCUGGAUAACGUAGACUUGCUGUUUAAGCGAUAAACUUUAAGCAAUAUUUUAUAUUCAAAACAGGAUAAAUUGUUGACGCAAGUACAAAUUUCAUAUAUUAAACUUUUACUAACUUAAAUUGUGAAUUGUUUUAUCGUUUAAUGAUUUUCAUUUAUGGAUAAGGCACGUACGCUGUCAAAAUAUAUGUAGUAUAGAGGUGACCUAUUGUUAAUCAAUUUGGAGUAGUCAGCCUAAAGGAAUUAACUCUAAAAAGAAGCGACUUACGGAAAGCCAUUAAUGUUAUUUAGCUAAAAAAAUGCGUGUCACUGAUAAAAAACUGUUAGUAUUCUACGCGGAUAGUGUUAUUAUCGACGUUGGGAUGUUUUAGUAAUUGGGAAAUUACUUGGUUAAUGCAAAUAAUUUAACAAUUAUAAUAAUAUUGUUUUUGUACUUCGAAGAAAAGAUUCAAUGUAAAUAACUCUGAGGUAGAUUUUUAUAACUUAAUAAAGAUUAAAAGUCUCUCAUUAUUGCUACGAUUCUGUCUUAUGACAUUAUUUAUUAGAUGUUGCAAAAUUUAAUUUUUGAAAUUUGUUAUUUUUGAAUAUUAAAAAUAACUACGCUAUUGAAUAUAUCAAAUAACAAUACCAUUGAUCUAUAUUAAUCAACUUUUAAUUAAUAUGCUAAUUUCUUUUAUUCUAAUAUUUAUAAUUACU